CUAUAUGGCAAGGUUAGUUCCUCAAAGGUGUUCUUUAUUUAAGAUCUUUAAUAUAUACAUUAUUCGUUGACUUAUUUUAUUCUAUCUGUAUUACUUUUAAAAUUAUACAUCCUCAUCAUAGGUGCGCACAAUGACAACAUAUUGCCUGAUUUAAAUGGCACUUCAACUGAAAAAGGUAUUAAAACUUUGAUUCUCAUAUUAAUUUUUCACCUAAAGUUUAUCUUUCAAUUAAUACUAACAAUCCUACUACAUUGUAGAUGUGCAAAUGCAUAAUUCUCUGCCAGAUUUAGAUGAAACUCCAAUAAUGCAAGGUAAGCAUUUGAAAUUCAUAUUGUUAUUAGUUAAAAGUAAAAUACAAUAUUAGGAUUAAUGAAAAUUAAUUAGUCCAACUCUCUUAUUAGAAAUCGAGGCUGCAAUAAAUAACACUGUCAUUCAAUAUGUUUCUAUGAGAUAUUGGUUUACCUUUAAAUAAUGACCUUACACUAGAUGUGGCUAUAUGAAUCUAAAGUUAUGCAAUUGACUAUCUUCAAGAGAAACAUUUUUGCAUUGUUUCAACUUCUAACACCCCGAAUAUAGGAACUAUUUCUUCCAGAAUGAUAGUAUACUAAGAAGUGAACUGGCAACUAAAAGUUGCAAGUUUAGGAGUAUAUCUCGAAAUACUGUACGUUAACGCACUGUAUCAUCUUGAUGUAAUAAUGGAGAUUGUUGAGUUGUCUUUACCAAUACUUGAAUUCUGGAUUCAACUUACGCGUCUCCUCCUCUAAUAUUUAUGAAUCGUAGUAAAUUAAAAAGUGUGGCAGUGCUCCAUUGAAACUUAGUAUGUCGUAUAGACUACAAGUAGAGUGUGCAAUGAAGGGAAACUUCUCUAGGAAAGUCUAUGGAUAAUCAGGGGAGUAGAAGUAGGAGAUGUAAUAGUUUUAGAUCAAUAUACACUUACAAAUUAUACAUGUAACAAGGCAGUUGCCAAAUAACAUAGGACAUGAAGAUGAUGAAGAGUAUCCAGGUAUGACAACCAUAUCUUUGCACUUUUCUGUUAUUAUUGAAGAAGAAUCUAUAUUGACAAACAUAGAUGUAUGUAUUAAUAAUCCAUCCCUAUUAAUUGAUUUAACUAUUACUUUUCUUAGAUGUGGAUGUUGAAUGUGAUGAAAUUUACACUGAAGAUACUUAUCAGAUACUCCUUAUUCACUCAACAUAGUUGGAUAAAAUAAGUCAUUAAUCUAUGUCUUUGACUUUAUAUAUUAUUGUAAGUAUAUAUUACUAGGACAAAGGAGAUGCUACAUAUGAAUGCGAAAAGUGCGGUGCUCUUUUUGGUAUGAAGAAAGAAUCUGCAAGCAUUACAACUCAAAAAAGUCUAUUUUCACAAUGUGUUGUGAUCGUGGAAAAAUAAAGCUUCCAGAUCUUAAGAAGCCUCCUGAAGUUCUGAAAUAACUUUUAUUUGGAUCAGGUUAGAGGAAUUAUAACUUUUAUUUGGAUCAGGUUAGAGGAAUUAUAACUUUUAAUAUCAACAUGUUCAUAUCAUCUUAUAUUCACAUUUAUCAUUUUGCAAUGGUUUUAAUAUAGGUCCUAAAAGUAGC
rnacentral:lncRNA from 1 species